UACGAAGGGGGCUAGCGUUGUUCGGAAUUACUGGGCGUAAAGCGCGCGCAGGCGGUCUUCCAAGUCAGUGGUGAAAGCCCGGAGCUCAACUCCGGAACUGCCAUUGAAACUGUGAGACUUGAGUAUGAGAGAGGUGAGUGGAAUUCCCAGUGUAGAGGUGAAAUUCGUAGAUAUUGGGAAGAACACCGGUGGCGAAGGCGGCUCACUGGCUCAUUACUGACGCUCAGGCGCGACAGCGUGGGGAUCAAACAGG
rnacentral:rRNA from 3 species